rnacentral:rRNA from 1 species
UGGCGAACGGGUGAGUAACACGUGGGUGAUCUGCCCUGCACUUCGGGAUCAGCCUGGGAAACUGGGUCUAAUACCGGAUAGGAGCCAUUUUUAGUGUGAUGGUUGGAAAGUUUUUUCGGUGUAGGAUGAGCUCGCGGCCUAUCAGCUUGUUGGUGGGGUAAUGGCCUACCAAGGCGGCGACGGGUAGCCGGCCUGAGAGGGUGGACGGCCACAUUGGGACUGAGAUACGGCCCAG